GAUGCACGACGCCGCGUGAGGGAUGACGGCCUUCGGGUUGUAAACCUCUUUCAGUAGGGAAGAAGCGAAAGUGACGGUACCUGCAGAAGAAGCACCGGCUAACUACGUGCCAGCAGCCGCGGUAAUACGUAGGGUGCGAGCGUUAUCCGGAAUUAUUGGGCGUAAAGAGCUCGUAGGCGGUUUGUCGCGUCUGUCGUGAAAGUCCGGGGCUUAACCCCGGAUCUGCGGUGGGUACGGGCAGACUAGAGUGCAGUAGGGGAGACUGGAAUUCCUGGUGUAGCGGUGGAAUGCGCAGAUAUCAGGAGGAACACCGAUGGCGAAGGCAGGUCUCUGGGCUGUAACUGACGCUGAGGAGCGAAAGCAUGGGGAGCGAACAGGAUUAGAUACCCUGGUAGUCCAUGCCGUAAACGUUGGGUACUAGGUGUGGGGACCAUUCCACGGUUUCCGCGCCGCAGCUAACGCAUUAAGUGCCCCGCCUGGGGAGUACGGCCGCAAGGCUAAACUCAAAGGAAUUGACGGGGGCCCGCACAAGCGGCGGAGCAUGCGGAUUAAUUCGAUGCAACGCGAAGAACCUUACCAAGGCUUGACAUGUUCUCGAUCGCCGUAGAGAUACGGUUUCCCCUUUGGGGCGGGUUCACAGGUGGUGCAUGGUUGUCGUCAGCUCGUGUU
rnacentral:rRNA from 1 species